rnacentral:misc_RNA from 1 species
AAAAAAAAAAGAAGUUGAUUGAGCUAAAUGCGAGUGUUAUCUUUGCACUGCCAGGCAUAGGCUGUCUGCCUCAAGAAACAAACUUUCUUAUUUCUAUUGUACUUCAAAUUAAGGCCCAUUUGUUUGAAGCAAAAUAAACCCUUUCAAAAGUUGUGUUCAACACAACACGUAUGAUAAAUCACUUCAAAGACAAUGACAAUAAAAACUAAUGACUAGUUGAAAAUCUUAUAACUCCUCUUCAAGUAGCUUUGUGUAGGUGAUAGUUCCUUAUGCCAAUGAUUUAUUUCUUGAAAAACAAUGCAAUUGACCACAUUUAAACGUCUAAUUCUAUCUCUAAUUGUAUAUACACAAACAAAAUCAAGUCCAGAUGCUAAAUAAAAUCCUAUUUACGUAUAUACAACAUAAAUAACGCGGGGAAAAUAUUAUUAAAAAAUUCAUAAUUUUUGAAUAUUGAUGCAAA